rnacentral:piRNA from 1 species
UGAAGUGAUGCUAAAUUGAAGAGUGA